rnacentral:misc_RNA from 1 species
AACUUUUGGCAACGGAUCUCUUGGCUCUCGCAUCGAUGAAGAACGCAGCGAAAUGCGAUCAGUAAUGUGAAUUGCAGAAUUCAGUGAAUCGUCGAAUCUUUGAACGCACCUUGCGCCCGUUGGCCAUUCCGAGGGGCAUGCCUGUUUGAGUAUCAUGAACACCUCAACUCUCAUGGCUUGCCAUGAUGAGCUUGGACUAUGGGGGUUUUGUUGGCCUCUGGGGUCAGCUCCUCUUAAAUGAAUCAGCUUGCUAGUGUGUGGCGGCAUUGUGGGUGUGAUAACUAUCUACGCUCAUGGUUGUUUGCCAGGUAACCUUCAGCAGUGGAGGUUCGCUGGGGCUUAUAAAUCUCUCUCCUCAGCAUGAGACAGCAUUUUGAACGUUCGAUCUCAGAUCAGGUAGGACUACCCGCUGAACUUAAGCAUAUCAAUAAGCGGAGGCU